AACGCACCUUGCACCCUUUGGCUAUUCUGAAGGGCAUGCCUGUUUGAGCAUCAUAAACACCUUCAACUCUCAUGGUUUGCCAUGAUGAGCUUGGAACUUGGGGGUCUUGCUGGCACAUGGUUGGCUCCUCUAAAAUAAAUCAGCUUGUCAGUGUUCGACAGCAACCAUGGGUGUGAUAACUAUCUACGCUUGUGGUUUCCUGUCAGGUAACCUUCGAUCAUGAUGGAGGGUUCACUGAGGCUCAGAAAUGUCUCUCUUUGGUGGAGACAACACUUUGAAUGUUUGAUCUCAAAUCAGGUAGGACUACCCGCUGAACUUAA
rnacentral:misc_RNA from 1 species